GGGAGGAUGGCCGAGUGGUUUAAGGCGCUGCCCUUAAGUUUAUUAAGAUAUGCAGUGGUUAUACCUCGUGGGUUCAAAUCCCACUCCUCCCA